rnacentral:rRNA from 1 species
GUCUCAGUUCGGAUUGAAGGCUGAAAUUCGCCUUCAUGAAGCCGGAAUUGCUAGUAAUGGCAGGCCAGCAUACUGCCGUGAAUACGUUCCCGGGCCUUGUACACACCGCCCGUCACACCAUGAGAGUUGGGAAUACCCGAAGCCUGUGAGCUAACUUUUAGAGGCAGCAGUCGAAGGUAGAAUCAAUGAUUGGGGUGAAGUCGUAACAAGGUAGC